UGAUAUUCUUGAAUCGGUACCAGUCAGAAGCAGGAUCGAGUGUUCUGUGAAGUGCCUGAAUAAGCCGGUCUGUCUGUCAGCCUCCUACUGUAAGACUGGGGAUGGUUAUACGUGUCAGUUAACCGGGUCGUACGUGGAGGGGAACUGUUCGAGGCUUGCCGCUGGUGAUGGCUGCAGUCAGACUCCGAUGACCCUCUAUGUAUACAUCGUUGAAAAAGUAAUUGCCAGUUGUUUACUCCAGAAGUGACAGUAUUACAGACAGACGGACAAACUAGCAGAUCAUCACGACGCAGGCCGCAAUAUAUUCCAGCAAUAUCACGGUGUCAUGUUUAUAAUCGAGUCGAUGCAUGGCAAACCAGUAGCUAACAGCAUGAGCAAUGAUCCAUCAGUCGGGGCACGAUGACACACAAUCAGUCAAUCAGAUCUGGCCCUCAUUACCUGGCACAAAGAAGCCGAGACCGAAAGGUAGCAUCUCCUGCGAAAGAACCUCCAGUGAGACAACAGGAAGCAUAGCUGUCAUCCCUCCAAUUCCAGCGCCAGCUGUCGAUGUCAACACUGUCAACAUCGACCAUUCGGUG